GCCGAAAUAGCUCAGUUGGGAGAGCGUUAGACAGCUGAUCUAAAGGUCCCUGGUUCAAUCGGGUUUCGGCA